GUCGGGGUAGCUCAAUUGGCUAGAGCGUAGCACUCAUAAGGCUAAGGUUGUGAGUUCAAUCCUCACCCCCGACA
rnacentral:tRNA from 1 species